rnacentral:lncRNA from 1 species
AGGCUUCCGAGGUGCGGCCACCAGGCGGCGCGGAGUCCCGAGAGCAGGACCUGGCCUGUCCCGCUUCAACUGCACCCGACCGGAGCGCGCUGGUGUUGUCCGCUUCCCUCUGCCCUACGCAGCCUCGGAAAGGUCGCGAUCCCGGUGGGGGAGCAGCACGGGUGACCAAGCUGCCAGACAUCCUGUUGGUACAGAGUCAAGUAGUGAAUGAUGAAUGGAGGCCACCGUGCGACUCUGGUCAUUAACGAGGAUCGAACUGGGGUCCUUGAGCUUGCGCAGCAGGCGGCAAAACCACGGAGCUAAAGCCCCAGCCCGAUCUUAUGUUUUUCUACUGGAGCAGCAUCAUGACACAUCAGCAGGCAAUGAUGAUGUUGAGAACAGCAGCAAAAACAAACAAUCAUAUGUUCAUGAAGAACCCAAGCCUACAAAAUGGAUACCUUUCAAGAGAAGUUCAUUCUUAAAAAGACCCAAGACUUCAGGAUAAUAAAGCUCAGCAUUUACAAUCUUUUAUAUGUCCUAUUGCGACUAUUAUGCUAAAGUAAAAUAGCUAAAAAAUUUAAAAAACAAAAAAGAUGGCAAUAUCAUUAAAAUGUAGCUGUCUAUUUUGGCAGCUAUAUUGCAGAAUUUCUUGCUAUCUUUUAAUCAGCUGGGGAAAAAAGUCAAUAACUAUGCAAAUGAAUAAACUGUCCAUUUCAAAAAUCAAAAGUAACUAUCAAUAAUCACCUCUGACGUUCAGAUUUAAGUUCAGUGCAAUUGACAAAUGCAUCGCGACAGGAAAAUGCAGCUUAAACAUACUCAAAACAUUUGUGUCUAUUCCUGGGAGCACAUUUAAAAAUUAUUGCACAGAUUUUUAAAUUUUUAUUUAUUUAUUUUUAAACAACAACAGAGGUCAACCAUAGAUGUGGACCUCUAGCAAGAAAAGGAGGAUUUCAAGUGCCAGAUACUCAGCAUAUUAGGUUUCCUACAUAAGUCACAGGGUAAUAAGUUCUAAGUAUCUCUAAUGUGAUCCAAAACCCUAAAAACAGCUGGCACAAAACCAUCAUGACUGUCUCUCUGGGUGUAAAUUUUAAAAAAUAUUAUUACAGUAUCAAAGUCCCCACUAACAGCAACUGGGGUACAUAUAACAAUGUAUUGUGAAAUUAAGUGUAUUUAUUCUCUUACCAAUAGCAAAUGCUACCCUACCUUAGGAAAACCAAGACUUGCUUCAAUCAAUGCUGUUUUGUAAAAAUAGCAAAACAACAAAUGCAAACUAAUUCUCUUGAUUUGUAUCUUCACUUUCUAUUAGCUAGUGUGUCUAAGAGUUUAUCAGUUUCUACUUAGAACACAGGCUAAAAUUUUAGUAGUAAAGGCCUCAAAGUAAUUAGUGACAGGAAUAGUGUUUUUAAUUUGCUAAGCUUGAAAACAAGCAAUUGGUUAAUUGAAAUCUGUAAGGUAUAAAUUUGACAACAAUUUUCUUUAAACUUGACACUCCUGGAUCAUUUUAAUCAUGACAAACCCUGUUAAUAUAUAUACACAUGGCCUCAUGCUAACAUUUAUCUGUAUAUUUUACUUUAGUUGUGUGAGCAUGAGGAGAUUUGAUACCUACUUCUUUAAGAAAAUACUUGAUAUAAACAGAGUAAAAGACAUGAGAUAGUAGUGAUUACUGGAAAAAAAUAGCAGCUUAAAUCUAUCUAUAUUUGAAAAAAUGUAGUCACAAGUACCACAAAUGCAUAUUCAGAGCACCAGGGAGGUUAGUGCAAUUAUAUACUUUUGAAAAAAUUCAGAAUCUAAAUCCCUGGCCCAAGAAUCACUGCUAUUUAAAAACAUCUUGAAGCAAGUCUUUUAUUUUAAAGAUUGUUUUUAAAACUAAGGUAGCAAACAUUUUGCCAUGUAAUGGCAGUAUUAUAUGCCAUUAUCUUGUUUUGUAUAAAGAAAAAUAACGUGAGAGAUUUUUAAUAUUGGAGUUUGGUUACAUUACAUAGUUAAGCUUCUACACAGAAUGAUGGACACUUUGAGAAGCUAAUCCUUAUCCAGAAACAUUUUAAUCUCUUAGAAAACAGAGUAAAACAAACAAACAAAAAAAUCCAAAACUUUGCUCCUUUUUACAACAGUGCACAUUUUAACCAUAAUUUAGUUAUGGCUACAAAAUAUCAGAAGAUUUUUUUUUUAAUGAAUCUUCUCUAUGGUAUUUAAAAAAAAUGUUGUGCUCUCCUAGUCUUUAAUUGGCAGAAAUGUCCCCCCCAAAAGAAACUAUUGUGUUUAAGCCACAUCACCAAAAACAAAACAAAAACCACAAAAAACCAGAGCUAUUACCCUUUCACUGAUGUGUCUUACAGAUUGACAUGACCAAAGUCAUAAGUUUUCAUUUAAUUUCCAAUUCCCUCUUUCACAAUAUGCACCAACUGAAUAUAUGCUGUGAGAGCUAUAAAAUGUACCAAACAUCUAUGUCUUCAAAAAGAAUGCAUAAAAGUAUUUUAAAGAAUUUUUUUUGUUUAAAAGGUGAAAAAAAAUAAAGAAAUUGAUUCACUCCCUUACUUCAUGCAUCCAUAAUCUAAACCAAAACAAAUUUUUUUUUUUGGUA